UGCGUAGGCGGGCCUGUAAGUCAGAGGUGAAAUCCCACGGCCUAACCGUGGAACUGCCUUUGAUACUGCAGGUCUUGAGUCCUGGAGAGGUCGCCGGAAUUCGUGGUGUAGCGGUGAAAUGCGUAGAUAUCACGAGGAACGCCGGAGGUGUAGACGGGUGACUGGACAGGAACUGACGCUCAGGCACGAAAGCGUGGGGAGCAAACAGGAUUAGAUACCCUGGUAGUCC
rnacentral:rRNA from 1 species